CCCUUAGAUGUCCUGGGCCGCACGCGCGCUACACUGAACGGAUCAGCGCGUUUUCCCUUCCCGAGAGGGACGGGUAACCUGCUGAACCCCGUUCGUGGUAGGUAUCGGGGCUUGCAAUUAUUCCCCGUGAACCAGGAAUGCCCAGUAAGUGCAAGUCAUAAGCUUGCGUUGAUUACGUCCCUGCCCUUUGUACACACCGCCCGUCGCUACUACCGAUUGAACGUUUUAGUGAGGUACUCGGACUGAGCCUCAGAAGAUUCACGUCUUUUGUGCUGCUCGGGAAGAUUCCCAAACUUGAGCGUUUAGAGGAAGUAAAAGUCGUAACA
rnacentral:rRNA from 1 species